AACGAACGCUGGCGGCAGGCCUAACACAUGCAAGUCGAACGCCCGUAGCAAUACGGGAGUGGCAGACGGGUGAGUAACGCGUGGGAACGUGCCCUUCGGUUCGGAAUAACUCAGGGAAACUUGAGCUAAUACCGGAUACGUCCGUAAGGAGAAAGAUUUAUCGCCGAAGGAUCGGCCCGCGUCGGAUUAGCUAGUUGGUGAGGUAACGGCCCACCAAGGCGACGAUCCGUAGCUGGUCUGAGAGGANGAUCAGCCACACUGGGACUGAGACACGGCCCAGACUCCUACGGGAGGCAGCAGUGGGGAAUAUUGGACAAUGGGGGCGAACCCUGAUCCAGCAAUGCCGCGUGAGUGAUGAAGGCCUUCGGUU
rnacentral:rRNA from 1 species